UACGGAGGGGGCGAGCGUUGUCCGAAGUUACUGGGCGUAAAGCGCGCGUAGGCGGCACGUUAAGUCCGGUCUGAAAGCCCCCGGCUCAACCGGGGAGGGUGGCUGGAAACUGGCGUUCUUGAGGGCGAGAGAGGAGGGUGGAAUUCCUGGUGUAGCGGUGAAAUGCGUAGAGAUCAGGAGGAACACCCGGGGCGAAGGCGGCCCUCUGGCUCGACCCUGACGCUGAGGCGCGAAAGCGUGGGGAGCGAACGGG
rnacentral:rRNA from 1 species